GCAGCCGCGGUAAUACGUAGGGGGCAAGCGUUGUCCGGAAUGACUGGGCGUAAAGGGCGUGUAGGCGGCCUGAUAAGUCUGGAGUGAAAGUCCACUUUUCAAGGGUGGAAUUGCUUUGGAUACUGUUAGGCUUGAGUGCGGAAGAGGUAAGUGGAAUUCCCAGUGUAGCGGUGAAAUGCGUAGAGAUUGGGAGGAACACCAGUGGCGAAGGCGACUUACUGGGCCGUAACUGACGCUGAGGCGCGAAAGCGUGGGGAGCGAACAGGAUUAGAUACCCC
rnacentral:rRNA from 1 species